GAUGAAGAACGUAGCGAAAUGCGAUAAGUAAUGCGAAUUGCAGAAUUCCAGUGAGUCAUCGAAUCUUUGAACGCACAUUGCGCCCUAUGGUAUUCCGAAGGGCAUGCCUGUUCGAGCGUCAUUAUCACCCCUCAAGCCCUCGGCUUGGUGUUGGACGGUUUGGUGGAGGCCCCCUCGGGGGCUCCUGCCCCUCCCAAAGACAAUGACGGCGGCCUCGUUGGACCCCCGGUACACUGAGUUCUUCACGGGACACGUAUCGGACACAUGGGUUUACGGGACACGGUCUGCCUCCCCUCAGGGAGAAUCUUUCUAAGGUUGACCUCGGAUCAGGUAGGGAUACCCGCUGAACUUAAGCAUAUCAAUAAGGGAGGA
rnacentral:misc_RNA from 1 species